rnacentral:rRNA from 1 species
AUUAAACGCUGGCGGCAUGCCUUACACAUGCAAGUCGAACGGCAGCACGGGGGCAACCCUGGUGGCGAGUGGCGGACGGGUGAGUAAUGCAUCGGAACGUGCCCUGAAGUGGGGGAUAACGCAGCGAAAGCUACGCUAAUACCGCAUAUUCUGUGAGCAGGAAAGCAGGGGAUCGCAAGACCUUGCGCUUUGGGAGCGGCCGAUGUCGGAUUAGCUAGUUGGUGGGGUAAAGGCCUACCAAGGCGACGAUCCGUAGCGGGUCUGAGAGGAUGAUCCGCCACACUGGGACUGAGACACGGCCCAGACUCCUACGGGAGGCAGCAGUGGGGAAUUUUGGACAAUGGGCGGAAGCCUGAUCCAGCCAUGCCGCGUGAGUGAAGAAGGCCUUCGGGUUGUAAAGGCUCUUUCGGCGGGGAAGAAUUAGCUUGGGUUAAUACCCUGAGUAGAUGACGGUACCCGAAGUAAGAAGCACCGGCUAACUACGUGCCAGCAGCCGCGGUAAU